AUUGAACGCUGGCGGCAGGCCUAACACAUGCAAGUCGAGCGGAUGAAGGGAGCUUGCUCCUGGAUUCAGCGGCGGACGGGUGAGUAAUGCCUAGGAAUCUGCCUGGUAGUGGGGGAUAACGUCCGGAAACGGGCGCUAAUACCGCAUACGUCCUGAGGGAGAAAGUGGGGGAUCUUCGGACCUCACGCUAUCAGAUGAGCCUAGGUCGGAUUAGCUAGUUGGUGGGGUAAGGGCCUACCAAGGCGACGAUCCGUAACUGGCCUGAGAGGAUGAUCAGUCACACUGGAACUGAGACACGGUCCAGACUCCUACGGGAGGCAGCAGUGGGGAAUAUUGGACAAAGGGCGAAAGCCUGAUCCAGCCAUGCCGCGUGUGUGAAGAAGGUCUUCGGAUUGUAAAGCACUUUAAGUUGGGAGGAAGGGCAGUAAGUUAAUACCUUGCUGUUUUGACGUUACCAACAGAAUAAGCACCGGCUAACUUCGUG
rnacentral:rRNA from 1 species